CGGGAGGCAGGGAGGGAGGCGCGGGGCGCGGGAGCAGCAGGAGACCUUGGUUCGGGUUACAGGCUGUGGGAAACCACCAACAGGAGCGGAUGACACUUUUGGGGACUGAAGGAAACAGAAGAACCUUCACCAUGGAAAGACAGGGCAAAGCCACCCUAUGGAAUUCAUUUCUGCACUCCCAAAUGCUGGGCACAGAGACACCCAGGAUUAGUGUGGACAAGAAGAAUUGCGGGUGGACUUGAGGUCAAGGUUCCAGGUGAACUGGAAGGUUCCUCAGAGCAAGCUGCAGGUUUUGAACUUCCAUCUGGACCUCCCAGAGCGGCGACCUCCAGCAUGAAAGCCACCACCCUCCUGCGUCUGGUUAUUUCUACGUUAAAUAAAAUGAAAUGCAAUUUGAAA